rnacentral:rRNA from 1 species
AUACGUAGGGGGCGAGCGUUGUCCGGAAUGACUGGGCGUAAAGGGCGUGUAGGCGGCGGUGUAAGUCUGGAGUGAAAGUCCCGCAUUCAAGGUGGGAAUUGCUUUGGAGACUGGUUGGCUUGAGUGCGGAAGAGGUAAGUGGAAUUCCCAGUGUAGCGGUGAAAUGCGUAGAGAUUGGGAGGAACACCAGUGGCGAAGGCGACUUACUGGGCCGUAACUGACGCUGAGGCGCGAAAGCGUGGGGAGCGAACAGGAUUAGAUACCCUGGUAGUCCACGCGGUAAACGAUGAAUGCUAGGUGUAGGGGGUAUCGACCCCUCCUGUGCCGGAGUGAACACAAUAAGCAUUCCGCCUGGGGAGUACGGCCGCAAGGUUGAAACUCAAAGGAAUUGACGGGG